rnacentral:misc_RNA from 1 species
AACGUAGGGUGCUAGCGUUGUUCGGAAUUACUGGGCGUAAAGCGCGUGCAGGUGGUCUCUUAAGUCCUAUGUGAAAGCCCUCGGCUCAACCGAGGAAUUGCAUGAGAUACUGAGAGACUAGAGUUCGGCAGAAGCAGGCGGAAUUCCUAGUGUAGAGGUGAAAUUCGUAGAUAUUAGGAGGAACAUCGGCGGCGAAAGCGGCUUGUUAGACCGACACUGACACUCAUACGCGAGAGCGUGGGUAGCAAACAGG